rnacentral:rRNA from 1 species
CCUACGGGUGGCAGCAGUCGAGAAUCAUUCACAAUGGGGGAAACCCUGAUGGUGCGACGCCGCGUGGGGGAAUGAAGGUCUUCGGAUUGUAAACCCCUGUCAUGUGGGAGCAAAUUAAAAAGAUAGUACCACAAGAGGAAGAGACGGCUAACUCUGUGCCAGCAGCCGCGGUAAUACAGAGGUCUCAAGCGUUGUUCGGAAUCACUGGGCGUAAAGCGUUCGUAGGCUGUUUCGUAAGUCGUGUGUGAAAGGUGCGGGCUCAACCCGCGAACGGCACAGGAUACUGCGAGACUAGAGUAAUGGAGGGGGAAGCGGAAUUCGUGGUGUAGCAGUGAAAUGCGUAGAUAUCGAGAGGAACACUCGUGGCGAAGGCGGGUUCCUGGACAUUAACUGACGCUGAGGCACGAAGGCCAGGGGAGCGAAAGGGAUUAGAUACCCCUGUAGUC